rnacentral:rRNA from 1 species
UACGUAGGGCGCAAGCGUUAUCCGGAAUUAUUGGGCGUAAAGAGCUCGUAGGCGGUUUGUCGCGUCUGCCGUGAAAGUCCGGGGCUCAACUCCGGAUCUGCGGUGGGUACGGGCAGACUAGAGUGAUGUAGGGGAGACUGGAAUUCCUGGUGUAGCGGUGAAAUGCGCAGAUAUCAGGAGGAACACCGAUGGCGAAGGCGGGUCUCUGGGCAGGAACUGACGCUGAGGAGCGAAAGCGUGGGGAGCGAACAGG